UCCCUGGUGGCUCAGACGGUAAAGCGUCUGCCUGUAAUGCAGGAGACCCAGGUUCAAUUCCUGGGUCGGGAA
rnacentral:tRNA from 1 species